rnacentral:rRNA from 1 species
GACGAACGCUGGCGGCGCGCUUAACACAUGCAAGUCGAGCGAAGCGGCGGACGGGUGAGUAACACGUGAGUAACCUGCCUUAGACAUUGGGAUAGCCUCGGGAAACCGGGAUUAAUACCAAAUGGUCUAAGAUGGACUCGCGUCCCAUUAGAACGUUGGUGAGGUAACGGCCCACCAAGGGGACGAUGGGUAGCCGGCCUGGGAGGGUGGACGGGCACAUUGACACUGAGAAACGGUCCAAACUCUACGGGAGGCAGCAGUGGGGAAUAUUGCACAAUGGAGGGAACUCUGAAGCAGUGAGGCCGGGUGAACGAAGAAGGCUUUCGAGUCGUAAAGUUCUAUUAUAUGGGAAGCGGUACCAAAAGAAAAAGCCCCGGCUAACUACGUGCCAGCAGCCGCGGUAAUUC